GAGACCCGAAAUUUGGUUCCAUUAAUUUUUUAUAACACAGCACAAACGUAAUAUAUGAUUCUCACUCUUUUAAAAACACUAAGACAUAAUUUAAAGGUUAUUACUCUUUCUGUUUUAUCAAAUCCAAUGAAAAAAGACAAUACAAUGUAUAAAAAGGUUAACUUUUAGGACAAGCAAAAUAAAACUAUAAAGUCUUACAAUGAUACACAAGCUCACACUGCAUUAGAAAAUCCUUCACAAUACACACUUUUAUUUGAAAAUAUAAAAUCCAAAUACAAAAAAUGAACUAGGGUUGUUGAAAUUUGAACUAAUAAUGACAUUGAUUCAUAUUCUAAAAUUGUGUUUAAGGACUGAUUUAAUGAAAACAAAAACAUGAAUCAUCUCAUCUUCAACAAGAGUACAUAAUAUUCCAAGCAAAAAGCUGUUCUAUGGAUCAAUUAUGGACCUUAUUAUGCUUACCAUUAGGUCCACUUGGUGAGAUCCAAUCUUCCAAAGAUCUUCGAGUACUACUUCUAUGUAAAAUUAAUAACUCAUGCAGAAGACGUUGGCUGUCAAUAUGUCUUUCAAGAUUCCUACGAGCAUGCAGCAAACUCAUGAAGAAGGUGGACAUCAUUAACAUGACUAGGAAGAUUUUGAUUAAUGUUGUUGUAUUUGCCAUGCAGUGGCAAUGUUGUUUCUGCUUGUUGUAUAAUUAAGGGAUAUGAGAGUGGUAUAGAGUCAAGCUCAUAUCAAGUGCUAUAUAUAUUGGGAAGCUGGGUUUGUUUUUUCAUUCACUCUAAGAGAGAUUGUAAAUAAUAUUUAAAGUAGUCAAAGGCUCAAAGCUAUAUAUAAAGAUUCCUUUAACUUUUAAAAUU
rnacentral:lncRNA from 1 species